rnacentral:rRNA from 1 species
AACGAACGCUGGCGGCAGGCUUAACACAUGCAAGUCGAGCGCCCCGCAAGGGGAGCGGCAGACGGGUGAGUAACGCGUGGGAAUCUACCCAUCUCUGCGGAACAACUCCGGGAAACUGGAGCUAAUACCGCAUACGCCCUUCGGGGGAAAGAUUUAUCGGGGAUGGAUGAGCCCGCGUUGGAUUAGCUAGUUGGUGGGGUAAAGGCCUACCAAGGCGACGAUCCAUAGCUGGUCUGAGAGGAUGAUCAGCCACAUUGGGACUGAGACACGGCCCAAACUCCUACGGGAGGCAGCGGUGGGGAAUAUUGGACAAUGGGCGCAAGCCUGAUCCAGCCAUGCCGCGUGAGUGAUGAGGGCCUUAGGGUUGUAAAGCUCUUUCACCGAUGAAGAUAAUGACAGUAGUCGGAGAAGAAGCCCCGGCUAACUUCGUGCCAGCCGCCGCAGUAA